GCUGUAGCUCAGAGGUAGAGCAUCUGUCUUGCAAGCAGGAGGUCCCACAUUCAACCCUGGCAUCUCCA